CCUACGGGGGGCAGCAGUUUGGAAUUUUGGACAAUGGACGAAAGUCUGAUCCAGCGACGCCGCGUGGACGAUGAAGGCCUUCGGGUUGUAAAGUCCUUUUAGCAGGGAACAAUAUCUUGAGUGUACCUGCAGAAUAAGAGGUUGCUAACUCUGUGCCAGCAGCAGCGGUAAUACAGAGACCUCGAGCGUUAUCCGGAAUUAUUGGGCGUAAAGCGUACCGACAGGAGGUUUUACAAGUCAGAGGUGAAAUCACAAGGCUUAACUUUGUGACUGUCCUUUGAAACUGUAAGACUAGAGGGACAAAGAGGAAGCCGGAACGAACGGUGUAGUAGUGAAAUGCGUUGAUAUCGUUCGGAACACCGAUAGCGAAGGCAGGCUUCUGGGUGUCACCUGACUCUGCUAGGACGAAAGCGUGGGGAGCGAAUGGGAUUAGAUACCCUAGUAGUCC
rnacentral:rRNA from 1 species